GUUUGAUCAUGGCUCAGAUUGAACGCUGGCGGCAGGCCUAACACAUGCAAGUCGAACGGUAACAGGAAACAGCUUGCUGUUUCGCUGACGAGUGGCGGACGGGUGAGUAAUGUCUGGGAAACUGCCUGAUGGAGGGGAAUAACUACUGGAAACGGUAGCUAAUACCGCAUAACGUCGCAAGACCAAAGAGGGGGACCUUCGGGCCUCUUGCCAUCAGAUGUGCCCAGAUGGGAUUAGCUAGUAGGUGGGGUAACGGCUCACCUAGGCGACGAUCCCUAGCUGGUCUGAGAGGAUGACCAGCCACACUGGAACUGAGACACGGUCCAGACUCCUACGGGAGGCAGCAGUGGGGAAUAUUGCACAAUGGGCGCAAGCCUGAUGCAGCCAUGCCGCGUGUAUGAAGAAGGCCUUCGGGUUGUAAAGUACUUUCAGCGGGGAGGAAGGGAGUAAAGUUAAUACCUUUGCUCAUUGACGUUACCCGCAGAAGAAGCACCGGCUAACUCCGUGCCAGCAGCCGCGGUAAUACGGAGGGUGCAAGCGUUAAUCGGAAUUACUGGGCGUAAAGCGCACGCAGGCGGUUUGUUAAGUCAGAUGUGAAAUCCCCGGGCUCAACCUGGGAACUGCAUCUGAUACUGGCAAGCUUGAGUCUCGUAGAGGGGGGUAGAAUUCCAGGUGUAGCGGUGAAAUGCGUAGAGAUCUGGAGGAAUACCGGUGGCGAAGGCGGCCCCCUGGACGAAGACUGACGCUCAGGUGCGAAAGCGUGGGGAGCAAACAGGAUUAGAUACCCUGGUAGUCCACGCCGUAAACGAUGUCGACUUGGAGGUUGUGCCCUUGAGGCGUGGCUUCCGGAGCUAACGCGUUAAGUCGACCGCCUGGGGAGUACGGCCGCAAGGUUAAAACUCAAAUGAAUUGACGGGGGCCCGCACAAGCGGUGGGGCAUGUGGUUUAAUUCGAUGCAACGCGAAGAACCUUACCUGGUCUUGACAUCCACGGAAGUUUUCAGAGAUGAGGAUGUGCCUUCGGGAACCGUGAGACAGGUGCUGCAUGGCUGUCGUCAGCUCGUGUUGUGAAAUGUUGGGUUAAGUCCCGCAACGAGCGCAACCCUUAUCCUUUGUUGCCAGCGGUCCGGCCGGGAACUCAAAGGAGACUGCCAGUGAUAAACUGGAGGAAGGUGGGGAUGACGUCAAGUCAUCAUGGCCCUUACGACCAGGGCUACACACGUGCUACAAUGGCGCAUACAAAGAGAAGCGACCUCGCGAGAGCAAGCGGACCUCAUAAAGUGCGUCGUAGUCCGGAUUGGAGUCUGCAACUCGACUCCAUGAAGUCGGAAUCGCUAGUAAUCGUGGAUCAGAAUGCCACGGUGAAUACGUUCCCGGGCCUUGUACACACCGCCCGUCACACCAUGGGAGUGGGUUGCAAAAGAAGUAGGUAGCUUAACCUUCGGGAGGGCGCUUACCACUUUGUGAUUCAUGACUGGGGUGAAGUCGUAACAAGGUAACCGUAGGGGAACCUGCGGUUG
rnacentral:rRNA from 1 species